AGGAACGUAUAGAGCGGCUCAAAGAGUGGUUGAAAACAAGAGCUGGCAAUAAUCUGAUAAAAGAAUGAGUUUAAUACGCCUCAGAAUAAUGGAAUAGCAGGAGUACAUUCAAACCGACCUCCCUGCGAGGCUGCAUCUGCAACCAUUUGCUGACACACUGUGAAUAGCACAUCAGGAACACAGAGCCGAUCUGAAAAAUGUUUCAACUAUGACACCGAUUAUACGCAUUAAAACUACCCUGAUGGUUACUGAUGAGUCAUGGAAAUUGCCCAAUGGAGGAUUUGAUUUGUGCCGUAUAGUUAUAAAGAGAA